GUGCUCGUCAGCAGCACAUAUACUAAAAUUGAACGAUACAAAGAAGAUUAGCAUGGCCCCUGCGCAAGGAUCUACACGCAAAUUGUGAAGGCGUCCAUAUUUUA